UGUGUGUGUGUGUGUGUGUAUUAUGUCCGCGCUGACAACAACAGGGCUUGAUCCACUGCAAGUGAAGUGAAGGACUGUUAUCUUAAGAGAGAUGGAAUACUGAGCCAGCAGAGAGUGUAGAGAAUGAGAAGAUUAACAGAAGCAGGAAGCAGAGGGAAAUUCCAUGUCCUUUCUACUUUGAAAUAGGAGAAAAGAGACAGAUAAACUGAAGGAAUGAAGACAAAGUGGAAGUGCCUAAACAUUUCAAGUUUAAUAACCUGAGCUGAACAACGUUACACACGAAGGAGCUGGAACGUAUUAGCGACUCCAGUGAAGAGUUCUCAGCAGGAAGAAGAAGCAGAUGAUUCACCACCCUUUGUUUAUGUGUGAGUUACACUUAUGGUAUUCGUUGAUUUUUUUUUUGUUUUGGUUGAACAGGUUUUAAAUUCAAUGAGAUAAAGAUGGUUCAAAUCUGUAUAAUGAAUUACAGAACACAACACUGUGACAAAUAACCUGUUUACUUAAAUGAGGACAACAGAAGCAUAUGGGUUUCAUGCAGAACUUGAUGAAAGUCAAGAAAAGAAUUUCGAUGUCACUGGCCACACACACACACACACACACACACACACACACACACAGACACACACACACACACACACACACACACACACACACACACACACACACACACACACACACAAACACACACAAACACAACAGCAUCUCUGCUCUCUCAGGGCAUGACUUGUGGUGUUUCCGGUUCAGGGUUGUCUUCUUGUGGGCUCGUAAAUUACAGCACCUACUAAAUUACUGCACCCUCACUCAUGCUUUACAGAAACCAGACCCUCUUUAUCCUCUCCAUGUGCUCUCUGUGAGAUCAUACCCCCUCAACUCUGACCCCUGUGAGCCUGACCCUGUUAUCUUGGUAUCUCAUGCUGUGUGUGUGUG
ensembl:lncRNA